UAAAUUGUCAUUUUCACAGUUGCUUUAGGGUUUGUUGAUAUUACAUCGUCAUGGCCCUGAAGUUGUAAAAUUAGAUAUAACUUUACACAGAAAGUGUAGUAAGUGAUUUUAUACUAAAAUCAUGUUAAUGUGCAUAUUGUUUACAUUCUGUGGCAAUACUUUUGAAAGUAUUUUAACAUUUACCGAUUGGCCCCAUUCACUUCCAUUGUAAGUGCCUCACUGUAACCCAAAUGAGGAAUGAGUUGAAAUACAUUUUUGUGGUAAUCAUCAUUAUGCCACAAAUGCUGUUGAUUGAGUCUGAAUUUUGUUUAUUUUCGUUUCCAUUCACCCAUCAUUAUCACUGCCUAACUUGUACACAAUAUCAGUAAGAAAUGUUCUACCUAAAAACAGGACAAGUAAAAUAUAUAUAUAUUGUUUUAAUGAAAUGACAACAAUACAUGAAAAACACUACUACUGUUAUGUGCACUCUUUUACAGAGUCUCCAUCCAGUAUCCAAUUAGCCCGCCAAUUAACCAUUAAAUUUGUGUUGAUUUGGCUAAGCAAGGAUCGACCACAAAAAUCAAUUUGCAAUCAGCGUUUGGUUUGUUGAGCGCUGUCCGUUCCUGGAUCUACUGACAGACUCACGAGUUAUUUUAAAUUUGGCAGUUGAACUGAAUUGAGUUUCACAAGAAUGGUAGUUCUGCGUUUUGUCUUUUGAUCCUAUUGUCUAUUGGUGUGUUUCAAAACCUAGUGUGCUGGCUACCUAGACAGCAUUUGCGCAUGGUUAGCUCGCUCUGAGACUGAACGCGUCUUUGAUGCCCACAAAAGCUAUCUAGGUAGGCAGUUCACUAGGUUGAGACCCAGCCUAUAUAAUGAAUGGGGUAAGGCAGAGCUGAUCAGUUGCCAUUAAAACUGUAUUCCUUAUUUACUGUUUAAUUUUUCUUUUGGAUACUGAAACCUUGAGGUCAUAUACGCAAGCACUAGGGUCAUUUUACUGAUCUCACAAAUUGUGGACUAUUGAUUUCUCACACACUGGCAAAGAAUAACAAGUUUAAAAGGUGUUUGUGUAUUAGGAGCAAUAUUUGAACGAAAGCUUCGACACAGACGAGUGUUCUGACCUGCACAAGAGCAAAGUGGAACAUUGUCGUACUGCUAUAAACUCCGUACUCAACGAGUUAUUUGAAGAAAAGAUUUCAACUCAGCAGGCACAUCACUGGAUACUUGGCCCAGAGGACCUCGAUGAAACUCUUGUUUACGAUUUUGAGGCAGAAGCGGAUUGAGCUGUGCUUCAGAAUGACUGCACAUUCUGUGUCUUGCUGCAGUUGAACUUGCAGUUUAUAUAAGAGGUUUACGUUGUAAAUAAACUUUAUAUUAACUUAGAUCUUUACGUUCUGUGCGUUAACAUGCAAACUUUGCGUAGGCCAUGUUGACUGAUCUUCCUACUAGACUAGAGGUGUGUGAGGUUGGGAUAAGACCCUGGACCUGUUUCGGGUGCAUGCAAUGAAAAAGUAAUUGCCCUCUGCAUUUCGGUCAUCAGUGGUGUGUGCAUAAAUAGGCAAGUUGGUAUUCUUAUCAUAUUUUUUUCCAAGCAUAUUUUUCCAAUUCCAAACAUAUCAAUCUGAAUAGUUACAAAGCAGAAUUACUUAAGUGCUAUUUAAUUCUCAUUGAGGUUGGGUGUUGCUUAAAGCAGUUAACAUCGUGUUUUCGGAUGUGCAUAAUUAUUAGGCGGCUUACUACAGGUAAAAGGGGCCAAAAAACAAAAGAUCUAACUGACACAAAGUGCAAAAUAAUGAGGAGCCUAUCAGAAGGAUACAGCACUCUUGAAAUUUUCAUCCUAUUGAGGCGUGACCACAAGACAAUAAAAGACUUGUAAAAAGCUGUAAAAAUGUGGUGAGAAGAAUAAGCGCAAAUGAACUAAAAUAGAUAAAAAUUUGAAACCACCAGAAACCCUUUAGCUUCCAGUGCCAAUUUCUAGAGCUGUAACGUAUUGAGUCUCCAAAAGUACAAGGUGCCUGUUCUCAGAGUCUUUGCUAAGGGGAGGAAGGCUGAAAUUCAUCCUUGACUUUAUAAGAAUCACAAGCUGAAGCAUCAAGAUUGGGCCAGGAAAUACCAGAAGACUUUGUUUUUUUGUUUGUUUUUUUUUUUUUUUUAAAUGGUUUUAUGGACAGAUGUGAUGGCUCUUGACGGACCAGACGGGUGGAAACAUAGCUGGAUCCCUAAUGCCCACAUUAAAUGGGUUCGGGUCAGGUGCCAGCAGGGUAGGAAAGAGGUAAUGAUGUGGGUUUCUACCAUUAAUGAUGAGCUUGUUGGACCUUUAUGGGUUGUAGAUGGACAGUAAAAUCAACUCUAAAAAGCUACAGCCAGUUUCUGGAAGACACUUUCUUCGAACAUUGGUUCAAGAAGAAUUCAACAGUAUUCAAGACGACCGUGAUCUUCAUGUAAGAUUGGGCUCCUUAACAUUUGUCUCUAAGUACUCCAAUGAUUGGCUAGCCAGAAAAGGCUUCAAAGGUAACUGAAUAAUGACUGGCCCCAUUCCUCACUCGAACUUAACCCAACUGAGAACUUGUGAGCCCUUUUAAAACGUUAGAUUUACAGUGAGGGAAAACAAUGCACAUCUUUGAAUGAUAUCUGGGAGGCUGUGGUGGCUGCUAGAGCUGUGUAGGUCCAUAUAAUGCAAGUGAAUGUUUACCAGACCUUUGAAGCUC